GUUUGAUCUCAAAUCAGGUAGGACUACCCGCCUGA
rnacentral:rRNA from 1 species